rnacentral:rRNA from 1 species
CCUACGGGUGGCUGCAGUGGGGAAUAUUGGACAAUGGGCGAAAGCCUGAUCCAGCCAUGCCGCGUGUGUGAAGAAGGCCUUCGGGUUGUAAAGCACUUUCAGUGGGGAAGAAAGCCUUGGGGCUAAUACCCUCGAGGAAGGACAUCACCCACAGAAGAAGCACCGGCUAACUCCGUUCCAGCAGCCGCGGUAAUACGGAGGGUUCGAGCGUUAAUCGGAAUUACUGGGCGUAAAGCGCGCGUAGGCGGUCUGAUAAGCCGGUUGGGAAAGCCCCGGGCUCAACCUGGGAACGGCAUCCGGAACUGUCAGGCUAGAGUGCAGGAGAGGAAGGUAGAAUUCCCGGUGUAGCGGUGAAAUGCGUAGAGAUCGGGAGGAAUACCAGUGGCGAAGGCGGCCUUCUGGACUGACACUGACGCUGAGGUGCGAAAGCGUGGGUAGCAAACAGGAUUAGAUACCCUGGUAGUC